UUGGUUUGAUACGGGUGGUCGGCUCCCUGCUUGAGCAGGCACGGCCACGCGUGCAUUCCUUUUCAGCUGUGCGGCAAGGCUUGUAUGGUCUUGAUCGUAUAAGUGGGUUUACUGUGUUGCAUACCUGAUCAACGGCAUCGUUUCGAUCAAAAGCGUAUCUUUUUCGUCUAGUGUUGCACCCGCACCAUUGGAUGAACCGUGUAGCAUUCUCUUUGAUCCAUACAAUCGACAUUCAUUGUUAGUUGUUUGGCCCAUUGAGCGUGUCUUGGUCCCUUGAAUAUGGAAGCCAAAGUGGGCACGGGAUCGCAAGAUCCGUUUAGUGCCCUAAUUGAGCGUUUUCGCUUCUCUUACACGACUGCCUCUCACGUAUGGCACGUCCCAGCGUGUUUGGCUAUGUCGAAGAGGAAUGU
rnacentral:misc_RNA from 1 species